AGAGUUUGAUCCUGGCUCAGAUUGAACGCUGGCGGCAGGCCUAACACAUGCAAGUCGAACGGUAGCACAGAGAGCUUGCUCUCGGGUGACGAGUGGCGGACGGGUGAGUAAUGUCUGGGGAUCUGCCCGAUAGAGGGGGAUAACCACUGGAAACGGUGGCUAAUACCGCAUAACGUCGCAAGACCAAAGAGGGGGACCUUCGGGCCUCUCACUAUCGGAUGAACCCAGAUGGGAUUAGCUAGUAGGCGGGGUAAUGGCCCACCUAGGCGACGAUCCCUAGCUGGUCUGAGAGGAUGACCAGCCACACUGGAACUGAGACACGGUCCAGACUCCUACGGGAGGCAGCAGUGGGGAAUAUUGCACAAUGGGCGCAAGCCUGAUGCAGCCAUGCCGCGUGUAUGAAGAAGGCCUUCGGGUUGUAAAGUACUUUCAGCGGGGAGGAAGGCGAUGCGGUUAAUAACCGCGCCGAUUGACGUUACCCGCAGAAGAAGCACCGGCUAACUCCGUGCCAGCAGCCGCGGUAAUA
rnacentral:rRNA from 1 species